UGGUGGAGUGAUUUGUCUGGUUAAUUCCGUUAACGAACGAGACCUUAGCCUACUAAAUAGUCAUUGCAUAAAUUCUAUGUUGGUGGCUUCUUAGGGGGACGUUCGUAGGUUUACUACGAGGAAGAGUGAGGCAAUAACA
rnacentral:rRNA from 1 species